CCGGAGCUAAUACCGGAUAUGACCUCGGAAGACAUCUUCUGAGGUGGAAAGAAUUUCGGCGGAGGAUGGGCCCGCGGCCUAUCAGCUUGUUGGUCGGGGUAAUGGCCCACCAAGGCGACGACGGGUAGCCGGCCUGAGAGGGCGACCGGCCACACUGGGACUGAGACACGGCCCAGACUCCUACGGGAGGCAGCAGUCGGGGGAAUAUUGCGCAAUGGGCGAAAGCCUGACGCAGCGACGCCGCGUGAGGGACGAAGGCCUUCGGGUUGUAAACCUCUUUCAGCAGGGACGAAGCGAAAGUGACGGUACCUGCAGAAGAAGCACCGGCCAACUACGUGCCAGCAGCCGCGGUAA
rnacentral:rRNA from 1 species